rnacentral:rRNA from 1 species
UACGGAGGAUGCAAGCGUUAUCCGGAAUGAUUGGGCGUAAAGCGUCCGCAGGUGGCUAUGUAAGUCUGCUGUUAAAGAGUGAGGCUCAACCUCAUAAGAGCAGUGGAAACUACAUGGCUAGAGUGCGUUCGGGGCAGAGGGAAUUCCUGGUGUAGCGGUGAAAUGCGUAGAUAUCAGGAAGAACACCCGUGGCGAAGGCGGCUCUCUGGGACGGUACUGGCGCUGAGACGCGAAAGCGUGGGGAGCGAACAGG